UCCGGAUUAGAGAUUUGGGGCUAGGUGUUCAACAUCAGUGAACACGAAAAUUUGAUGUUGAUAUUUUUAUUAAGAAAAUCUCAGAGCUUAAGGAAAACCUUUUCAACAAUAAAACAUUGAAACAAAAAUUAUACAAUUUCUAAGCAAAAAAAAAAAAAAAAAAAAAAAACAUUGGUGAAAUAUAAACAGUUCUUCUGACCUUCCAUCCUAGCACUCAGAGGGCGGAGACUUGAAAAAAAUUAAGAGAUAUUUCCUUACUAUAUCCAAGAAUUCCGAUAAUGGUGAUAGGACUGACAACAUAUCGAAAUCUUAGUUUGCAAAGUAUUUAAUUCCUAGAUAUAUCAUUUUGACAAAAUCAAUACUUUAAUUGAAGAAAGAAAAUUCAUUAUAAAUGGUGCACACAAUUAUACACAUAUGUACAUACAUAUGUGUGUAUUUAUAUGAACGAACACACGCACCUCAAGUUGGCUGUACGGUGAGGUGUUGGCGUAACUGCUGAUGAUGGGGCUGCUCCACUCUGGUGAGAGAACACUAUGUAUGUGGGAUUUUGUGUAUCCAAUAACCACAGACAGAAAUACUACAAUGAUCCAAAACAAAAACGAAAAAACAGAAACAGCAAACCGGCGAAUUAACGCUCAACACUGAAUGAACAACAACAACAAAAGCAACAGCAACGAUGAACAAACAACUACUCAGCAGCUUCAAAUGAAACAAAGAAGAAAGUCAGGGCAAAAGCAAUACACCACAACGACGUUGGCGACAACAAUAAUACCAGCAAAAGCGACGAAAAAACUUCGAUGUUUCAUACUUUCUUAAUCAUCUUAUCGUCUUUUACUUGUAUGUACUUAUAUAUAGCGCAGAACCCUUGUCCAUCAGUAUGUAGUCAGUGUUCCUCCAAAAGCCAGCCAUGGGAGUAGCAUGUACUACAUAUACAUAAAAAAGUAUGUGUGUAUGUAGCCAUUAGUAUGUGCAUUUAGCCAAAAGCAUGGAAGAAAAACCAAGACAGACCGAGGGACAAACGGACCAUUUAUUUACCCCACCAACACAACAUAUGAUUCAUGACAAAUUCAUGGGUACAUACAAAGGGAGGCUAACCAUUGGGAGUUUAGUUGGUUAUAAAUAUAAUUCAACAGUAGUCCACACCUA